UGGUCUUUCUUUGAUUAUUUCCUCACUGU
rnacentral:piRNA from 1 species